GGCCUGGCUGGCCGGUCCGCCUCACCGCGUGCACUGGUCCGGCCGGGCCUUUCCUUCUGGCUAGCCGCAUGCUCUUCACUGAGUGUGUCGGGGAACCAGGACUUUUACUUUGAAAAAAUUAGAGUGUUCAAAGCAGGCCUAUGCCUGAAUACAUUAGCAUGGAAUAAUAAAAUAGGACGU
rnacentral:rRNA from 1 species